GGUGGUUCUCGGAUGAUGCACCCUGGAAUUGGGCUCCCUGCUUUCUGGUUCCAGGGUAUGUCACUUGAGAACCACC
rfam:Myotis davidii contig70854, whole genome shotgun sequence.